CCUACGGGCGGCAGCAGUGGGGGAUAUUGCACAAUGGGGGGAACCCUGAUGCAGCGACGCCGCGUGGGUGAAGGAGCGUUUCGGCGCGUAAAGCCCUAUCGGCAGGGAAGAAGAUGACGGUACCUGACCAAGAAGCCCCGGCUAACUACGUGCCAGCAGCCGCGGUAAUACGUAGGGGGCAAGCGUUAUCCGGAAUGACUGGGCGUAAAGGGAGUGUAGGCGGCAUAUUAAGUUAUGUGUGAAAGCCCGCGGCUCAACCGCGGAAUUGCACAUAAAACUGGUAAGCUGGAGUGCAGGAGAGGUAAGUGGAAUUCCCGGUGUAGCGGUGUAAUGCGUAGAUAUCGGGAGGAACACCAGAGGCGAAGGCUACUUACUGGACUGUAACUGACGCUGAGGCUCGAAAGCGUGGGGAGCAAACAGGAUUAGAUACCCUUGUAGUC
rnacentral:rRNA from 1 species